rnacentral:lncRNA from 1 species
UUUGAAUCAAGAUUAACAGGAAAUAUCAAACAUGCAGCAGAAUGAAAGUACCAAAGAAUGGGGAACAAAAGCUUUGGCAAAGGUGAAACAAGAGACCAGAUAGAUAGUGAUUCCAAUCAACAAAAAAAAAGUAACAGAGAAUAAAGUGAAGAAAAAGGGGAAGAAAAAAUAGAAGUACAGGAAAACAAGAAAGAAUCUCAGCAAGGUCAAAUUCAUAAUCAGGGGGAGGCGGUG